AAGUUCAAUUCGGAGGGAAAAAGAGAGAGAAAAGCAGAGGGAUAGGGUUUUGCUCUAAAACCCUAAACUUGCUUCAAAUUUUUGUUCAUUUUCGCUUAUGGAUCCUGAUGGAGAGGAUGGCGCUAAGCGAGAGGUAAUCCUACAUUUGUGUGUCUACUUGAGUUGAUUAUACAAUGGUCAUUUUGAUCCCAGUAUCCAGCCUGAAAGCGAAACCAUGGGAGUUUGUUUAAUUACGAAAUAAUCUAAAAAUACAAUUUUUCUCCUACCUGUGCUUGUAUGUCCAUCAUGGAAAUCGGAACCAUUUCCAUUGAAGUUAUUUAAGGGAUACUCUAAGACAACCUCCAAUCUUUUUUCA